AAGGCGCACGGUGGAUGCCUUGGCACUAGGAGCCGACGAAGGACGUGACAAACGACGAUAUGCCUUGGGUAGCUGUAAGUAAGCGAUGAUCCAGGGAUUUCCGAAUGGGGGAACCCAACAGGUAGUACCUGUUACCCACAUCUGUUAAGGAUGUGAGGAGGAAGACGCAGUGAACUGAAACAUCUAAGUAGCUGCAGGAAGAGAAAGCAAAAGCGAUUGCCUUAGUAGCGGCGAGCGAAACGGCAGGAGGGCAAACCGAAGAGUUUACUCUUCGGGGUUGUAGGACUGCAAUGUGGACUCAAAGAUUAUAGAAGAAUGAUUUGGGAAGAUCAGCCAAAGAGAGUAAUAGCCUCGUAUUUAAAAUAGUCUUUGUACCUAGCAGUAUCCUGAGUACGGCGGGACACGUGAAAUCCCGUCGGAAUCUGGGAGGACCAUCUCCCAACCCUAAAUACUCCCUAGUGACCGAUAGUGAACCAGUACCGUGAGGGAAAGGUGAAAAGCACCCCGGGAGGGGAGUGAAAUAGAACCUGAAACCGUGUGCCUACAACAAGUUCGAGCCCGUUAAUGGGUGAGAGCGUGCCUUUUGUAGAAUGAACCGGCGAGUUACGUUAUGAUGCGAGGUUAAGUUGAAGAGACGGAGCCGUAGGGAAACCGAGUCUGAAUAGGGCGCCUUAGUAUCAUGACGUAGACCCGAAACCAUGUGACCUACCCAUGAGCAGGUUGAAGGUGCGGUAAGACGCACUGGAGGACCGAACCAGGGCACGUUGAAAAGUGCUUGGAUGACUUGUGGGUAGCGGAGAAAUUCCAAACGAACUUGGAGAUAGCUGGUUCUCUCCGAAAUAGCUUUAGGGCUAGCGUCGACAUUAGAGAUUCUUGGAGGUAGAGCACUGUUUGGGUGAGGGGUCCAUCCCGGAUUACCAAUCUCAGAUAAACUCCGAAUGCCAAUGAAUUAUGGUCGGCAGUCAGACUGCGAGUGCUAAGAUCCGUAGUCGAAAGGGAAACAGCCCAGACCACCAGCUAAGGUCCCAAAAUAAUUGUUAAGUGGAAAAGGAUGUGGGGUUGCACAGACAACUAGGAUGUUAGCUUAGAAGCAGCUAUUCAUUCAAAGGGUGCGUAAUAGCUCACUAGUCGAGUGACCCUGCGCCGAAAAUGUACCGGGGCUAAAACAAUUUACCGAAGCUGUGGAUACCUUUAUAGGUAUGGUAGGAGAGCGUUCUAUGUGUGAUGAAGGUAUACCGUGAGGAGUGCUGGAACGCAUAGAAGUGAGAAUGCCGGUAUGAGUAGCGAAAGACAGGUGAGAAUCCUGUCCACCGUAAGACUAAGGUUUCCAGGGGAAGGCUCGUCCGCCCUGGGUUAGUCGGGACCUAAGGAGAGACCGAAAGGUGUAUCCGAUGGACAACAGGUUGAUAUUCCUGUACUAGAGUAUGUAGUGAUGGAGGGACGCAGUAGGCUAACUAAAGCAGACGAUUGGAAGAGUCUGUCUAAGCAGUGAGGUGUGAAUUGAGUCAAAUGCUUAAUUCUAUAACAUUGAGCUGUGAUGGGGAGCGAAGUUUAGUAGCGAAGUUAGUGACGUCACACUGCCAAGAAAAGCUUCUAGCGUUUAAACAUACUCUACCCGUACCGCAAACCGACACAGGUAGUCGAGGCGAGUAGCCUCAGGUGAGCGAGAGAACUCUCGUUAAGGAACUCGGCAAAAUGACCCCGUAACUUCGGGAGAAGGGGUGCUGACUUAAAGUCAGCCGCAGUGAAUAGGCCCAAGCAACUGUUUAUCAAAAACACAGCUCUCUGCUAAAUCGUAAGAUGAUGUAUAGGGGGUGACGCCUGCCCGGUGCUGGAAGGUUAAGAGGAGUGCUUAGCGUAAGCGAAGGUAUGAAUUGAAGCCCCAGUAAACGGCGGCCGUAACUAUAACGGUCCUAAGGUAGCGAAAUUCCUUGUCGGGUAAGUUCCGACCCGCACGAAAGGCGUAAUGAUUUGGGCACUGUCUCAACGAGAGACUCGGUGAAAUUUUAGUACCUGUGAAGAUGCAGGUUACCCGCGACAGGACGGAAAGACCCCAUGGAGCUUUACUGCAGUUUGAUAUUGAGUGUCUGUACCACAUGUACAGGAUAGGUAGGAGUCUAAGAAAUCGGGACGCCAGUUUCGAAGGAGACGCUGUUGGGAUACUACCCUUGUGUUAUGGCCACUCUAACCCAGAUAGGUGAUCCCUAUCGGAGACAGUGUCUGACGGGCAGUUUGACUGGGGCGGUCGCCUCCUAAAAGGUAACGGAGGCGCCCAAAGGUUCCCUCAGAAUGGUUGGAAAUCAUUCGCAGAGUGUAAAGGUAUAAGGGAGCUUGACUGCGAGAGCUACAACUCGAGCAGGGACGAAAGUCGGGCUUAGUGAUCCGGUGGUUCCGUAUGGAAGGGCCAUCGCUCAACGGAUAAAAGCUACCCUGG
rnacentral:rRNA from 1 species